UCCCAAACCCGAUUGAAGCGAAAAUACUUUUUGUUGCGUCAUUUCGAACGCAGAGAGAAAUCUCUAAGUUAAAAGCUACUAUCAAACAGAUUUCUCUCUGCGUUCGAAAUGACGGGGGACAGAAAACAAAAAGAUUACAGCGAAAAGCGGGGCUGAAA
rnacentral:sRNA from 1 species